GGUUAGUCCCAGAGCCUUCAUUUCUCUUCUUGUCAUCUAGGUGCCCUUCCUCCUCCAUUCUUCCUCUGCCGCAUCCCUCUGGCUUGGUCCUCUGCAAACUUUUCGCCUCUUGUCCCACCUGAUUUCUCUAGGAUCUUUAGGAUUUUUGUUCGAAAUGUCCUCCAGCAUCUCCGCCUCCAGUGGUUCCAGGAGUUCGUCCUCCUCAGUCCCCCAGAACCCCCACACUGUAGAC
rnacentral:lncRNA from 1 species